rnacentral:sRNA from 1 species
UCUCCGUUGGUGAACCAGCGGAGGGAUCAUUACCGAGUUAACGCAACUCCCAAACCCACCGCGAACCACACACCACGUUGCCUCGGCGGGACCGCCCCGGCGGCGCGGGCGCGCCCCCCCCUCACCGGGGGGGCUCGCCCGGGCCCCGGAACCAGGCGCCCGCCGGAGGACCGAACCCUGACUGUCGCAGGCCGACUGGCUCUCUGAGUAUGCGGGAAACGAAGAAAUGAAUCAAAACUUUCAACAACGGAUCUCUUGGCUCUGGCAUCGAUGAAGAACGCAGCGAAAUGCGAUAAGUAAUGUGAAUUGCAGAAUUCAGUGAAUCAUCGAAUCUUUGAACGCACAUUGCGCCCGCCAGCACUCUGGCGGGCAUGCCUGUCCGAGCGUCACCUCGACCCUCGAGCGCCCCCGCCGUCGCGGGGGACGCCCGGCGUUGGGGGAACGGCGCGCGCCCACGGGCGCGGCCGCCCCCCGAAAUACAGUGGCGACCCCGCCGCGCCUCCCACUGCGUAGUAGCGACCCCCAGGGGAAACCUCGCACCGGGAGCGCGGAGGCCGCGGUCACGCCGUAAAACGCCCAACCCUUCUGAAGUUGACCUCGGAUCAGGUAGGAAUACCCGCUGAACUUAAGCAUAUCAAUAAGCGGAGGAAAAGAAACCAACAGGGAUUGCCCCAGUAACGGCGAGUGAAGCGGCAACAGCUCAAAUUUGAAAUCUGGCCACCCCCGCGGCGGCCCGAGUUGUAAUUUGCAGAGGAUGCUUUUGGCGCGGCGCCCUCCGAGUUCCCUGGAACGGGACGCCGGAGAGGGUGAGAGCCCCGUACGGUGGGACGCCUAGCCUCUGUAAAGCUCCUUCGACGAGUCGAGUAGUUUGGGAAUGCUGCUCAAAACGGGAGGUAUAUGUCUUCUAAAGCUAAAUACCGGCCAGAGACCGAUAGCGCACAAGUAGAGUGAUCGAAAGAUGAAAAGCACUUUGAAAAGAGGGUUAAACAGUACGUGAAAUUGUUGAAAGGGAAGCGCUCGUGACCAGACUCGGCCCCGGCGGAUCAUCCGGCGUUCUCGCCGGUGCACUCCGCCGGGCGCCGGGCCAGCAUCGGUUCGCCCCGCGGGGGAUAAAGGCGCCGGGAACGUGGCUCCCCCGGGAGUGUUAUAGCCCGGCGCGCAAUGCCCCGCGGCGGACCGAGGUUCGCGCACACGCAAGGAUGCUGGCGUAAUGGUCACCAGCGAC